rnacentral:rRNA from 1 species
CCGGGGGGCGCGCCCCGGGCGGGGCGGGGGCACGGGGGGAACGCGAAGAACCUUACCUACCCUUGACAUGGCAGGAAUCCUGGAGAGAUUGGGGAGUGCCCGAAAGGGACCCUGCACACAGGUGCUGCAUGGCUGUCGUCAGCUCGUGUCGUGAGAUGUUGGGUUAAGUCCCGCAACGAGCGCAACCCUUGUCAUUAGUUGCUACGAAAGGGCACUCUAAUGAGACUGCCGGUGACAAACCGGAGGAAGGUGGGGAUGACGUCAAGUCCUCAUGGCCCUUAUGGGUAGGGCUUCACACGUCAUACAAUGGUACAUACAGAGGGCCGCCAACCCGCGAGGGGGAGCUAAUCCCAGAAAGUGUAUCGUAGUCCGGAUUUGUAGUCUGCAACUCGACUGCAUGAAGUUGGAAUCGCUAGUAAUCGCGGAUCAGCAUGUCGCGGUGAAUACGUUCCCGGGUCUG